GUGGGGAAUUUUGGACAAUGGGGGCAACCCUGAUCCAGCAAUGCCGCGUGCAGGAAGAAGGCCUUCGGGUUGUAAACUGCUUUUGUACGGAACGAAACGGUCUGGGUUAAUACCCUGGGCUAAUGACGGUACCGUAAGAAUAAGCACCGGCUAACUACGUGCCAGCAGCCGCGGUAAUACGUAGGGUGCGAGCGUUAAUCGGAAUUACUGGGCGUAAAGCGUGCGCAGGCGGUUUUGUAAGACAGGCGUGAAAUCCCCGGGCUCAACCUGGGAAGGGCGCUUGUGACUGCAAAGCUGGAGUGCGGCAGAGGGGGAUGGAAUUCCGCGUGUAGCAGUGAAAUGCGUAGAUAUGCGGAGGAACACCGAUGGCGAAGGCAAUCCCCUGGGCCUGCACUGACGCUCAUGCACGAAAGCGUGGGGAGCAAACAGGAUUAGAUACCCGUGUAGUCC
rnacentral:rRNA from 1 species